GGUGUCCUUCACAUUGAAUUCCUGGAAGCUAAAUAGACUUAAUCAAGAAAGACAUUGUUAUCAUAUCUAAAGGUUCUUCAGAUCCAAAUGUCAUUCUCAGAGUGGGAGCCAAGACAUUCUGCAUAAAGACAAAGGACAACACAGUGAAUCCAAUAUGGAAUGAAGCGUUCGAGGCCUUUGUGGACAACUCACAUGGUCAGAAAAUAAAGAUUGGUGUCUUUUAUGAAGACAAAGCAUCUGAUGACGAAUCUCUUGGAAGUGUUGAGGCUGACAUUGGUACAAUUGUCCAGCAAGGCAAUGUUGAAUUGUGGCUUCCACUAGAGAAUGUGAA
rnacentral:lncRNA from 1 species